GAUGAACGCUGGCGGCGUGCCUAAUACAUGCAAGUCGAGCGAAUGGAUUAAGAGCUUGCUCUUAUGAAGUUAGCGGCGGACGAGUGAGUAACACGUGGGUAACCUGCCCAUAAGACUGGGAUAACUCCGGGAAACCGGGGCUAAUACCGGAUAACAUUUUGAACCGCAUGGUUCGAAAUUGAAAGGCGGCUUCGGCUGUCACUUAUGGAUGGACCUGCGGCGCAUUAGCUAGUUGGUGAGGUAACGGCUCACCAAGGCAACGAUGCGUAGCCGACCUGAGAGGGUGAUCGGCCACACUGGGACUGAGACACGGCCCAGACUCCUACGGGAGGCAGCAGUAGGGAAUCUUCCGCAAUGGACGAAAGUCUGACGGAGCAACGCCGCGUGAGUGAUGAAGGCUUUCGGGUCGUAAAACUCUGUUGUUAGGGAAGAACAAGUGCUAGUUGAAUAAGCUGGCACCUUGACGGUACCUAACCAGAAAGCCACGGCUAACUACGUGCCAGCCGCCGCUGUAA
rnacentral:rRNA from 1 species